GAUGAAGAACGCAGCGAAAUGCGAUAAGUAAUGCGAAUUGCAGAAUCCGUGAGUCAUCGAAUCUUUGAACGCACAUUGCGCCCAUUAGUAUUCUAGUGGGCAUGCCUGUUCGAGCGUCAUUAAGUCCACUUAAGCCCUGCUUAGUGUUGGGAGACUGCUCCAGCGGUGCUACCCUGUAGCUACCCUGCAGCUCCUCAAAGACAGCGGCGGAGUUGUGGUAUCCUCUGAGCUUAGUAACUUGUUCUAGCUUUCGAGUACACCACUUCCCCUGCCGUAAAACCCUUAAUUUUUAAUGGUUGACCUCGGAUCAGGUAGGAAUACCCGCUGAACUUAAGCAUAUCAAUAAGCGGAGGA
rnacentral:misc_RNA from 1 species